rnacentral:rRNA from 1 species
UACAGGGGGUGCAAACGUUGCUCGGAAUCAUUGGGCGUAAAGCGCACGUAGGCGGUCUGUUAUGUCGGAUGUGAAAGCCCUCGGCUCAACUGAGGAAGUGCAUCCGAAACUGGCAGGCUAGAGUACUAAAGAGGGUCGCGGAAUUCCCGGUGUAGAGGUGAAAUUCGUAGAUAUCGGGAGGAACACCGGUGGCGAAGGCGGCGACCUGGGUAGAUACUGACGCUGAGGUGCGAAAGCGUGGGGAGCAAAAGGG